rnacentral:lncRNA from 1 species
UCUGCAACAUUGUUGGUAGCUUUGAACCCGAACCUCACGGCCGAGGUGAGUUUGUGACCCUCGGGGCUGAUGAGGACAACCCCGGCACCUGAGCCAACAUCCCCAGCCGAGCCAUCUACGAAGAGACUCCACAUGGGGGGUUCGACGGGCUCCAUGAUUUCAUCCACCUCAGGUAGGUUGGCGAAUUCAGCAACAAAGUCUGCUAACGCUUGCCCUUUGAUGGCCGCCCUUGCUUUGAACACAAGGUCAAAUUCACUUAAUUCCACUGCCCAUUUCAACAAUCUUCCCGAGGCAUC